rnacentral:rRNA from 1 species
CACCUUUGACAUGUACGGAAUCCUUUAGAGAUAGAGGAGUGCUCGAAAGAGAGCCGUAACAC